ensembl:processed_transcript 5930403N24Rik RIKEN cDNA 5930403N24 gene
CUGUAGGCUAGAUGUGGGAAACGCAAAAACAGCAAACAGCCUAAGCCAUGCUCGUUCCUUUCUCUCCUAGAGGCGUGAAAUAAAAUAUUUUGAAAUUGGUCCUUGGAGCACCUCAGAUCGCGUCUCUCCGACUAUUCCAAUUACCGAUCACUUUUCCACAAAACAUUGUGAGGACCAUUUUCAGAAGAUCGAAACUUGCUAGCAUGUUAUCACUGUAAGAAACGACAUCAUUAAUUUUCCUCUGUGGUAAAACUAGACCGAGCCUUGAGUGUACGAAUCCAUAUUUACAGUUGGGAGGCAGCUACUCUCGUCGACACGGGUUGUUUUCCUAGCCUGCUGCCAACAUCGGAGGGACUCUCAUUUUGAACUUGUCUGUGCACAGCAUCAAGUGUGCUCCUGGAAGAGAGGCAACAGCGAGGAAAUCCUAAAAGACCGAGUCCUAGUCUCAGAAGAAAUCGCCUGCAAGGUUGAGAGACAGAAAGAAAAUCCCUGGAAACUCCACGUCUAACCCAGGCUAAAGGCAAAGCUCUACAGCGGUGUGUAGGAUAUCUCUCUCGUUCGCUACAGCCCUUGCCACCGAAGUACCAGACGCUUUUAGUGUGUGAAAGACCAGGCGUUGAUUUAAUGUAUCUGGAAGGGAGAGGGGAUAGAGGAUGCAACUUAAUAAAUAUUCCUCUAGUCUCGCUCAUGAAAACAUCCAAAACAUCUUUCGGCGUUUGCAUUUAAUGACUGCAACGUGAACGAUGGAGGCGAGAAGCAGUCGAGGGAAUGGCUCGUUUCUCUUAGUGUUGGCUCGGAAUUGUCAAACAGUUACUUUCUGUUCAUUGUAGGGAAAUAGGUCACACUUUGAGUGAAAAGGACAGUUGGUUCAAGCCAAUAACCCUUUGUUCAAGUGCUGUUUGACAGUCCCUGAGCAGAACAUCGUUGCGUGAAGUUUCAUCUCCUGUCCAGUACCUUUAGAUACAUUAUUAAAUCCCAAAGUCAUAUUCCACGGAGCGCCUGGAAGGAAUAUUUCGUCGAAACGCGUCUUGCCAACCAACGUGUUAGCACCCGUAAGGAAGCCUGCUGGACUGGCCCGAGAACCCAGCCGCCAGGAUGGACACGAAUCCCUCAUUAGCAGUUCCAACUUGAAAAGCCAACUGGGCUGGUCCAACACCACCAUCCAGGAGAUUCCCAAAGGCUCAAAAGGCAAUCUGUGCACCCACCCCACGGGAACCUUGCCCCUUCCUCUGCGUCUCCCUCCGGUUUUAAAUUGGGAUGAUUGCUAGUUCGCUUUCGGAUUUUUUCUCCCAGACAUUCGGGGGCUGCUUUUGUGGCUCCUUUGUUAACAGGCUGUCGUGCAGCUUUCCCCCCUUUUCUUUCUCCAAUGCCUAUUUGCCUGGUAUCGGCUCGUCUCCGGGGCAACCGCGGGGAAGAUUCGGAGCCCCAGGCGCCGGGAGGGGGAAGGGGCGGAGCCCGGCGGAGUGGGGGCGGGGAGGGGCGCGAGAGGAGGGGCGGAGGGAGUGGGUCAGGAGGAGACCCCAGGACCCACGAGGAGCAGAUGGCCGCUCCGGGGCGGAGCCCGUGAGCGUCAGGGGAGCGGGAGAGCCAAUCCGUCCCUGCAGCAGCGCGGGAGCGAGCCAACGAGAGUAAACACGCGGGCUGUCCCCCCCCCCCCNNNNNNNNNNNNNNNNNNNNNNNNNNNNNNNNNNUUUGGGCGGAGCUCUGAAAUCUCCCUCUCCCUUUCCUCCCCUCCCACCCCGACUCAGGCACCCACUAAGCCUGGCGGGAAUGGAAGAGGCGGGUGGAUGGGAGAGCGGGGCGGGGCUGGGAAAAGGGAAGAGAUUGACUCUUGCUAUGAACCUUAAGGAAUGCCAGCAAGCUAUUGGAGCUGCUGGUCUUUACCUGCUGCAGUUCCCCUACAGUUUGGUGGUCUCCCCGUAGAGUUAAGGGUUGGGGGGGGGGAGGCGGGGAAACACCCGCCAAAUGCAUUUAUAUAAGUGAGAUUAAAGAACCCAUAAGGACAUUAAAAAUUGGAAGCAGGCGCCUAUAGCCAACUC